GGAUGCGAUCAUACCAGCACUAAAGCACCGGAUCCCAUCAGAACUUCAAAGUUAAGUGUGCUUGGGCGAGAGUAGUACUAGGAUGGGUGACCUCCUGGGAAGUCCUCGUGUUGCAUUCC
rnacentral:rRNA from 16 species